rnacentral:rRNA from 1 species
GGGAAACUAGUUGGUUAGGUUUUAAUUCGAUGAUACGCGGGGAACCUUACCUGGGCUUAAAUGGGGAGUGACAGCUGUCGAAAGAUGGUUUUCUUCGGACACUCUUCAAGGUGCUGCAUGGUUGUCGUCAGCUCGUGCCGUGAGGUGUCGGGUUAAGUCCCAUAACGAGCGCAACCCUUACCGUUAGUUACCAUCAGGUUAAGCUGGGGACUCUAGCGGGACUGCCACCGUAAGGUGAGAGGAAGGUGGGGAUGACGUCAAGUCCUCAUGGCCCUUAUGGGUAGGGCUUCGCACGUCAUACAAUGGUCGGUACAGAGGGUUGCCAAGCCGCGAGGUGGAGCCAAUCCCAGAAAGCCGAUCGUAGUCCGGAUUGUUCUCUGCAACUCGAGAGCAUGAAGUCGGAAUCGCUAGUAAUCGCGGAUCAGCAUGUCGCGGUGAAUACGUUCCCGGGUCUU